rnacentral:rRNA from 1 species
UACGGAGGGUGCGAGCGUUGUCCGGAAUCACUGGGCGUAAAGGGCGCGUAGGCGGCGCGGGGAGUCAACGGUGAAAGCUCGGCGCUCAACGCCGAGUCGGCCGUCGAUACUCCCGUGCUCGAGCACCGUAGAGGCGAUGGAAUUCCGGGUGUAGCGGUGGAAUGCGUAGAGAUCCGGAAGAACACCAGUGGCGAAGGCGGUCGUGCUGGGCGGUGGGACCGAAAGGUCUCUUAAACCGACACUGAGGCGCGACAGCGUGGGGAGCAAACAGG